CCUACGGGGGGCAGCAGUGGGGAAUAUUGCACAAUGGGGGAAACCCUGAUGCAGCAACGCCGCGUGAAGGAAGACGGUUUUCGGAUUGUAAACUUCUGUUCUUAGUGAAGAAGAAUGACGGUAGCUAAGGAGCAAGCCACGGCUAACUACGUGCCAGCAGCCGCGGUAAUACGUAGGUGGCAAGCGUUGUCCGGAUUUACUGGGUGUAAAGGGAGCGUAGACGGCCAUGCAAGUCUGAUGUGAAAACCCGGGGCUCAACCCCGGGACUGCAUUGGAAACUGUGCGGCUGGAGUGUCGGAGAGGCA
rnacentral:rRNA from 1 species